rnacentral:lncRNA from 1 species
AUCAACUAUGGCCUGAGUAUGAUACACUUAUCCAUGGUUUAAACAGAAUAUAUUGUUUUCAACUUUGAAAAUUAAAAUAUGGAAAUCCAGAUGCAGAAAUGUGAGAAGAGUGGAAGGUCAGGUGACCUUGCCUGUCACGAAUAUGAAGGUCAAGGUUUGUGAAUUGUGAAAUGUCCAAGAGAACCUCACUGAAGCAAAGAAUGGAGAAAGAACGCAUUUGGCCCUGGGAGGGUGCAGGGGUGAAUGGUGCAGGAGCUAAAUCUUUAUCAUACCCAGAAAUCAACAGCCACUAUUUGAAAUCAUCUAAAUUCACGCUGCUAACCUUCAGUGUACACACGAAUCACCUGGGGAUCUUAUUAAAAGCUAGUUUCUGAUUCACUAAAUCUGUGUGCAGUGGAAGUUGAGGGCAGAGAAGCUCCCAAGGGUGUCAAGCUGGCCCUGAACCAGACUUUGAGGGUUAAGGUCCCAAAUGGCAUCGCCAGCACCAGGGACAGACACUAAAAUUGUAGAAAUCGUGUCAAGAAAUGAACAGCCUCUAAGUCACAUGUUGAAUGUGAAAGAAAUCAGGGUGUGUACGUGUGUGUGUGUGCACGUGUGUGCCUCUGUUUGUCUCUGUGCAUGUAUGUUUCCAUGUGUGCACAUGUGUGUAUGUGUCUGUGCAUGUGUGUUUCUGUGUGUGUGCCUGUGUGUGUAUUGGCUUAGAUCUGUUCGAGACUUUUUA